UGAACGCUGGCGGUAUGCUUAACACAUGCAAGUCGAACGGAAACGAUACUAGCUUGCUAGUAGGCGUCGAGUGGCGGACGGGUGAGUAACGCGUAGGAAUCUGCCUGAUAGUGGGGGAUAGCCCGAAGAAAUUCGGAUUAAUACCGCAUAAUCUAUUCGUAGUAAAGUGGGGGACUUUCGAGCCUCACGCUAUCAGAUGAGCCUGCGUAAGAUUAGCUUGUUGGUAGGGUAAAAGCCUACCAAGGCGACGAUCUUUAGCUGGUCUGAGAGGAUGAUCAGCCACAUCGGGACUGAGACACGGCCCGAACUCCUACGGGAGGCAGCAGUGGGGAAUAUUGGACAAUGGGGGCAACCCUGAUCCAGCAAUACCGCGUGUGUGAAGAAGGCCUGAGGGUUGUAAAGCACUUUCAAUUGUGAAGAAAAGUUAGCGGUUAAUAACCGUUAGCCUUGACGUUAACUUUAGAAGAAGCACCGGCUAACUCCGUGCCAGCAGCCGCGGUAAUACGGAGGGUGCAAGCGUUAAUCGGAAUUACUGGGCGUAAAGCGUGCGUAGGCGGUUUAUUAAGUCAGAUGUGAAAGCCCCGGGCUUAACCUGGGAACUGCAUUUGAAACUGGUCAACUAGAGUAUGGUAGAGGAAAGUGGAAUUUCUGGUGUAGCGGUGAAAUGCGUAGAUAUCAGAAGGAACAUCAAUGGCGAAGGCAGCUUUCUGGACCAAUACUGACGCUGAGGUACGAAAGCGUGGGUAGCAAACAGGAUUAGAUACCCUGGUAGUCCACGCCGUAAACGAUGAUAACUAGCCGUUGGGGGGAUUUACCCCUUAGUGGCGAAGCUAACGCGUUAAGUUAUCCGCCUGGGGAGUACAGCCGCAAGGUUAAAACUCAAAGGAAUUGACGGGGACCCGCACAAGCGGUGGAGCAUGUGGUUUAAUUCGAUGCAACGCGAAGAACCUUACCUGGUCUUGACAUCCUGCGAACUUUCUAGAAAUAGAUUGGUGCCUUCGGGAACGCAGUGACAGGUGCUGCAUGGCUGUCGUCAGCUCGUGUCGUGAGAUGUUGGGUUAAGUCCCGUAACGAGCGCAACCCCUAUCCUUAUUUGCCAGCACAUCAUGGUGGGAACUAUAAGGAGACUGCCGGUGAUAAACCGGAGGAAGGCGGGGACGACGUCAAGUCAUCAUGGCCCUUACGACCAGGGCUACACACGUGCUACAAUGGGAAGGACAAAGAGCCGCGAAGCCGCGAGGUGUAGCUAAUCUCAUAAACCUUUUCGUAGUCUGGAUUGGAGUCUGCAACUCGACUCCAUGAAGUCGGAAUCGCUAGUAAUCGUAGAUCAGAAUGCUACGGUGAAUACGUUCCCGGGUCUUGUACUCACCGCC
rnacentral:rRNA from 1 species